GUCUAUGGCCAUACCACCCUGAACGUGCCCGAUCUCUUCUGAUCUCGGAAGCUAAGCAGGGUUGGGCCUGGUUAGUACUUGGAUGGGAGAAUCCUUCAGUUCCAUAAACU
rnacentral:rRNA from 1 species